rnacentral:miRNA from 1 species
CAAUAUUAGGAUUCAGAGUUUGUGUAAGCUUAAGAGAGCAAACGAGGCUAAGGCAUUGCUUGAUGAGAUGUUUUCUCGUGGAAUGAAGCCGAAUAAAGUUACUUACUAUCAUUUGAUUCAUGGGUU